AUUGAACGCUGGCGGCAGGCCUAACACAUGCAAGUCGAACGAGUGGCGGACGGGUGGGUAAUGUCUGGGAAACUGCGUGAUGGAUGGGGACAACUAAUGGAAACUGUAGCUAAUUCCGCAUACCAUCAGAUGUGCCCAGAUGGUUUUAGCUUGUGGGUGGGGUAACGGCUCACCAAGGCGACUAUCCCUAGCUGGUCUGAGAGGAUGACCAGCCACACUGGAACUGAGACACGGUCCAGACUCCUACGGGAGGCAGCAGUGGGGAAUAUUGCACAAUGGGCGCAAGCCUGAUGCAGCCAUGCCGCGUGUAUGAAGAAGGCCUUCGGGUUGUAAAGUACUUUCAGCGGGGAGGCGUUACCCACAGAAGAAGCACCGGCUAACUCCGUGCCAGCAGCCGCGGUAAUUC
rnacentral:rRNA from 1 species